GUGGGGAAUAUUGGACAAUGGGCGAAAGCCUGAUCCAGCCAUGCCGCGUGUGUGAAGAAGGUCUUCGGAUUGUAAAGCACUUUAAGUUGGGAGGAAGGGCAGUAAGUUAAUACCUUGCUGUUUUGACGUUACCAACAGAAUAAGCACCGGCUAACUUCGUGCCAGCAGCCGCGGUAAUACGAAGGGUGCAAGCGUUAAUCGGAAUUACUGGGCGUAAAGUGCGCGUAGGUGGUUCAGCAAGUUGGAGGUGAAAUCCCCGGGCUCAACCUGGGAACUGCCUCCAAAACUACUGAGCUAGAGUACGGUAGAGGGUAGUGGAAUUUCCUGUGUAGCGGUGAAAUGCGUAGAUAUAGGAAGGAACACCAGUGGCGAAGGCGACUACCUGGACUGAUACUGACACUGAGGUGCGAAAGCGUGGGGAGCAAACAGGAUUAGAUACCCCAGUAGUCC
rnacentral:rRNA from 1 species